rnacentral:rRNA from 1 species
CCUACGGGAGGCAGCAGUGGGGAAUCUUCCGCAAUGGGCGAAAGCCUGACGGAGCAACGCCGCGUGAUCGAAUGAAGGCCUUCGGGUUGUAAAGAUCUGUUGACAGGGACGAAUAAGCCAUGCGAAUAGUUUGGUGUAUGACGGUACCUGUUUAGAAAGCUCCGGCUAACUACGUGCCAGCAGCCGCGGUAAUACGUAGGGAGCAAGCGUUGUCCGGAAUUAAUGGGCGUAAAGGGAGCGUAGGUGGGUGCUUAAGUCAGGUGUGAAAACUCUGGGCUCAACCUGGAGACUGCACUUGAAACUGGGUAUCUUGAGGGCAGGAGAGGAAAGUGGAAUGUCGAGUGUAGCGGUGAAAUGCGUAGAUAUUAGGAGGAACACCAGUGGCGAAGGCGACUUUCUGGACUGUACCUGACGCUGAGGCGCGAAAGCGUGGGUAGCGAACGGGAUUAGAUACCCGUGUAGUC